UUCCUACGGGGGGCUGCAGUGGGGAAUAUUGCACAAUGGGCGAAAGCCUGAUGCAGCAACGCCGCGUGAGGGACGACGGCCUUCGGGUUGUAAACCUCUUUUAGUAGGGAAGAAGCGAAAGUGACGGUACCUGCAGAAAAAGCACCGGCUAACUACGUGCCAGCAGCCGCGGUAAUACGUAGGGUGCAAGCGUUAUCCGGAAUUAUUGGGCGUAAAGAGCUCGUAGGCGGUCUGUCGCGUCUGCUGUGAAAACUGGGGGCUCAACCUCCAGCCUGCGGUGGGUACGGGCAGACUAGAGUGCGGUAGGGGAGAUUGGAAUUCCUGGUGUAGCGGUGGAAUGCGCAGAUAUCAGGAGGAACACCGAUGGCGAAGGCAGAUCUCUGGGCCGUAACUGACGCUGAGGAGCGAAAGCGUGGGGAGCGAACAGGAUUAGAUACCCCGGUAGUCCA
rnacentral:rRNA from 1 species